GAGGGGGUCGCCCAGUCAGGUCAAAGGCGCUGGAUUUAGGCUCCAGUCCGUAAGGUUCGUGGGUUCAAAUCCCAUCUCCCUCA
rnacentral:tRNA from 2 species